AUCGCUUCUCGGCCUUUUGGCUAGGAUCAAGUGUGGAAGUAUGGCCAUUUUCACAAUAUUUGUUCUACUUAUUCAGGAAAGGGGGAUAUUGUUUCAUUUUCUGAUGUCCUCUUCAAACUCCUUUUUCAGAGUGUAUUACAGUUUUCACUAUAGAGGUCUUUCACU
ensembl:snRNA U2 U2 spliceosomal RNA